rnacentral:rRNA from 1 species
UACAGAGGUCUCAAGCGUUGUUCGGAAUCACUGGGCGUAAAGGGUGCGUAGGCUGCGGAGUAAGUCGGAUGUGAAAUUUGGGGGCUCAACCCCCCAACUUGCAUCUGAUACUGCUUCGCUAGAGACCUGGAGAGGAGUUUGGAAUUCUCGGUGUAGCAGUGAAAUGCGUAGAUUUCGAGAAGAACGCUCGCAGCGAAAAGCGAAACUCUGGACAGCGUCUG